UACGUAGGGCGCAAGCGUUGUCCGGAAUUAUUGGGCGUAAAGAGCUCGUAGGCGGUUUGUCGCGUCUGCUGUGAAAACCUAAGGCUCAACCUUGGGCUUGCAGUGGGUACGGGCAGACUAGAGUGCGGUAGGGGUGACUGGAAUUCCUGGUGUCGCGGUGGAAUGCGCAGAUAUCAGGAGGAACACCGAUGGCGAAGGCAGGUCACUGGGCCGCAACUGACGCUGAGGAGCGAAAGCAUGGGGAGCGAACAGG
rnacentral:rRNA from 1 species